rnacentral:lncRNA from 1 species
AGGACAGCGUAAAGUUUGUUCAGAAGGCGGUUCACACAGCGACAAAACAGGUACUGCGCUUUCAUUGCUUUGUUCAGCUCUUGUAGGUCGAGCGAAAAAUAUUUUGCCAAUUAAUGAUAAUCAAAUGCAUUUAUGUUGUCAACUUAGUGCAAAUAUAUAUGUAAGAGAUAUCCUGAUUUUGCAGUACCAGGUGACUGAGGGCAACCUCUAAAGGUCAUGAUGUCAUCGCAUGGUUCUGCUUUUGAUCUUUUGCUAACCGCAUCUAAUUUAAAUGCAUGAAAACUUGCAUAUCUAGAAAGACCUGUUAAUGCUAUCUGCAUACUGGAACAACAUAUAUUGAUAUAUGUAACACCUAUGGUACAGCUCUUUCAUUUCUUUAUGAUUCUAACACAAAUCUUAAGCUCUGCCAGCCCUGCAAUCUAUAUAUAUCCACCAUAUUAGUCUAUAUUAAAUCUUUUUGUAUGGCAGCUUUCUUUCAGGGAGAUGACUGCCGCCUUCCACUUUGCCACUGUUGUUACUGUUUUUCCUACCUUUUUGGUUGUUUCUCACCAUACUUACCAUGUGUACCGUCCAAACAUGGUUGAUUUGUUUAUACAGGCUGUCAGAUUUGCAAUUUUACUUCCAGACCCAUCGUCGUCGUCGUAGUUUACAUGACCGUUUUUUCUUUCCUUCCACUAUUUACCCUAUCUAACUGAGAGCCAUCAAAUGCUAUUACCUAUUUACAUGCCUUUUCAACUUUCCAUUGCCAUCAAAUGAUCAAACAAUCAUCGCCAACAUAUUUUGCAUUUAUAGUCUGAACGCUUACUCUCUAUGGGUCAUCAGUUGUUCGCUAGCUGUGUACUCCUACGGUUAAUUGUUAUUCCCCGGUCCGUUAUAACUUCACUUUGUCAUUCCCUUUGUUACGCAGGUUUAGGUACAGACAACCAUCUAAAUCAUCAUCUUACGAUGCCAUAUUUUUAAGGGUAAUUUUGUUUCUUCUAUUUUUUUUUUUAGGUCGGCUUCUUCUGCGUGGUACCAGACGGUAAAGCUCAAGAGGCCACCGCGACUCACUAGGAUAUACUGUUCUUUACCGACGAUGCGUGCCUUGCCAAUUAAGCUACUAUCCAUUAUUUGGUGCCGUCAGUGCAACAGGUGAUGCUUCCGCUCUUAUCCGUUGGGUUGAUAGUUUUGUACAUCAGAUCCACUGAAAACAAACUGAUCAAUUUUGCCUGGAGUAAAGCUGUGGUACAUGGUUUCCACCCUUUAUCUGGUUAUUUUUGCUACUGCUUGAUUUGCACCUGCUUUGCUCUUGGAUGGCUGCUCUCUACUUUUGUAUACAAC